AGAGGAAGAUGAUGAUCUCAACUCUGAGGUGAUAGACUGAGUCUCCAGAGCAACUGGACCAGCAGCCGGUCACUCUCUCUCUGCUGCCCGACUCUCGCUGGAAGAACCUGCUCCACCUCGACAUCAUCAAGUCAAAGAUUGUGAAUUUUGGAGUCCUGGCACAGAAGUCCGCUUUCUUCCAACAACUAGAAUCUGCCACACUCUGCAACAAAUAUGAUGGCCCUGUGGGGAUGCUGAAAGAGAUGGGUCCGUCUGGUAUUGAUGCUGAGCUCCGAGGUCUGGCCCCUGAUAUGGGUGGAGAUGUCUCCGUCUUACAAGACUUUCUGAAGAUGGUGGCCAGCAAGCUGAACUCCAAGAGGGACUUUGAUCUGGCACAGGCCUACCUGGCACUCUUCCUAAAGACUGAUCACCCAGGAACCAGAGCUCACGGAGGAGGCAUCUAGAGUAUCUGAGAAACUGGAGGAGAUGUGGACAUCCAUGCAGACACUUUUCAAUCAGAGCCUGUGUUUGCUGUCAUACACCAAGAGUGCACUGCUUUGAAGUGUGCCUCUCCCAAACAACCCUCGUUCAUUUUUAUUUUAUUUAUCUGGUUUUUCACAGCGAUCUAUGUAUACAUCUCUAUAGAGCAUUGUGGACUAUAGUUUCACACUUGAUGCAAGAGAAGUUGGCCACAUUUUAUAUUAUAUAUUAUAUGCUCUAAUGCUUUUGUAAUGGUCUAACAAAUAUGAUGUUCAAUGAAACCGUGAUUGACCAAAACCUGAUGUAACUACCUUUUUUAAAAUAGACAUCAUGAUUGUUAUCAUUGUAUCACUCCAGAUUGUUUUCACUUUAUGUUAUUACCCUAAUACAAUUUGAUGUUCAUUGGUUCAGCAUGAGUUACCACAUUUUAAGAUGUUCCCUGCUGUCUCGAUGGUACACAGCACAGUAAUGAGGAUUAUACAGAGGACAAAAUAGAUGUGUACAUGUACUGUACUCCAUAGACAAAUCGGAUACAUCAAUAUAUUUUCACAGUCCUGUUGGGGAUUAUAGUUUUUGUCUCACAACGACAGAGCAGGUAGUGGAUCAAAUGGUGUCUGUGUGUCCCCCUCUGUAGCUAGGCUUUGCUGGAGUCCUAGAGGAUGACUAUGCAUGGUUUGGGCUUGGGACAGAGGGUUAGACAAGCCCUUCAUUUGAAUGUGUUUCGAUGGUAAUCAAGAUAAAACAGUUAAAUAUUGUAUAUAUUACAUGACAUUUUCCACAUGUUGUUUUGUUACAGCCUGAACAUUGUGUCACUGCCCUACACACAGUACCCCAUAAUGUGGAAUUAUGUUUUUAGACAUUUUUACAAAUUAAUACAAAAUG